GGGAAGACUAGGCCGGGGGGUUAGCCCUCUCCUGUUACCACCAACGGGCUUUAUGAUGGGGCUGAAGCCUGGGAAGAGGUAUUGGCCUUAAUUAUUGGUCUUGGUUCGGACGUUGAGGGCCUGUCCUGCAGGAUUGGUUUUUUAGGGAAACAUGUCAGAUCAGGAAUGAAGCAGCAUUAACCUUUAAGACUGGUGCUUGCGGGGUCGCGGGUCUGAGGAAGAGUCAAGGUAGCCAAUAGUUAUGGCCUUUAUCCAUUUUCAGGCAUGUCUUCCC
rfam:Candidatus Woesearchaeota archaeon CG1_02_33_12 cg1_0.2_scaffold_10163_c, whole genome shotgun sequence.